rnacentral:rRNA from 1 species
AUGGCAGUGUCUUGGACACGAGUAUUGAAGCGUGGAGUUAUUCCAAGAGACGCAGCUCAAUUGGUUGGGACAAGAGGCUUUGCCGUUGCGGCCAAGGGCAAGAAAGGCGGAAAAGGUGGCGCGGCUGAUGCUAAACCUGUGCUCAGCAAAGAAAUGAAGAGCACAAGUGUGUUUGGGGCGGAUAUCCUGAAGGAGGGUUCUGACCCGAAGAUCCAACCAGACUCUGAGUACCCUGGCUGGCUGUGGCACAUGAUCGACAAGCGUCCAGUGCUGAGCGAGCUACGGAGGAAAGAUGCCAAGGCGCUGCCCUAUGAAGACCAGAAGCGUUUCGUCAAGCUGGACAACCGGACUCGGAUCAAGGAGAACAAUGCUCUCACAGCUAAGAACUGA